UAAAGAGGACAAAGGCCAUUCU
rnacentral:miRNA from 1 species